UGCGCCCGCAGGUCAUCCUACAGCGCAAAAUAGUGUGCCUUUUCCCUCGAAGGGUCGCAUCCCUUUAUGAUACAUUGCGUAUGCAUUUGCAUGGAGUCAAAAUUGAGCCCGCACUUGGAGAAAAUAAUUAUUAAAUUUUUGGAUUGAGUUUUUCACUUGUAACACAAGUUUUAAAUAAAAUUCGUCUAAAAAGAUAGAUCUCAUCAAUCGUUUUCCAAAUUCGAUUUGAGCGAGCGACUAGGACGACGGAUUCACUAUCCAUGUAGAGUUAGUAUUCCUUAUUAAAAACACUCCAAAUUUUCCUUCUCCCACCAAUGUGGGAGAAUUAGUGAACUUUCCAAUUUGUUAAUACACUUUCUAAUUUGGUGUCUCGCUUUUCCUUCACCAUUUUCCCUCCAUUUUUUAUUCAUAUAUACACCUUGAACCUAACAAUUCCCCACAAGAAUGAGGAAUGACUAUCUUUUUGAAGAAAUAUACAGACAAGCAUAUGAUCAUUUAGCAAAGACAGAUUGUAUCUAGAUAAGUAGGUUUUCCUUUGAACUUUCUGUAGUGAACAUGCAUCGAAUGCACUCGGUCAAUCGGUAGAUUUAAUAUCUUUGAACCGCCGAGCUUUGAUGUACACCUUGACAACACAUCUCACACAACCAACUUUUUACUAUUUAUGCUUCUCACUGUUUUGUUCUUUUCAGCCAUGAACAUUUUCCGAUUUUAUGAGAGCUUAGAGAAUAGGCCUUUACUAACAUUCUCCUUGAAGUGAGUUCCACUUUGCCCUCACAUAGGUGAUUUCUAAAUGUUCAAUCUAUAAAUUAAACUAACUAGUCAAAUCUUCCAAAUUUAGAUAAUUAUUAAAAAAAAUUUUACCUUGAGUCUUAUCCUUGUUUACUAAACACUGUCUACAUCAUGAGAAUGGGUUGGUAUAUUGAAAAUGUUGAACCUGCCAGACAGAACUUUGUUUGAUCUCCUUUAAUAUAGAUCUUGGGAUCUCUAGUCUACUAGGUAGAGUUACCACCAUGUUCACUUGUCCUAGGCCUUAAAUCCAUUCCCUUGGAUGUCCUCUCAACUCUUUCUUUAGAUAGGACUUUUGUAAGUGGAUCCGACACAUUAUCCUUUGACUUUACAUAGUCAACAGUGAUAAUUCCACUAGAGAGAAGUUCUCUGACGGUAUUAUGUCUCCAUCUUAUGUGACGAGAUUUACCGUUGUACGUCAUGCUCCUUGCCCUACCUAUAGAUGCUUGGCUAUCACAGUGUAUACAUACUGGUGCCACUGGUUUGGGCCAAUAAGGAAUAUCUUCUAAGAAAUUCUGGAGCCAUUCUGCUUCUUCAUCGACUUUAUCCAAAGCGAUAAAUUCAGAUCCCAUUGUGUAGCGAGCAAUACAUGUCUGUUUGGAUGAUAUCCAAGAGACCGUUUCUCCACCGAUAGUAAAUACAUAUCCACUUGUCGAUUUUACUUCGUUUGAUCCGGUGAUCCAAUUUGCACCACUAUAUCCUUCAAGUACCAUGGGAUAUUUAUUAAAAUGCAUGACACAGUCUUGAGUGUAUUUAAGAUACCCCAAAACUCUUUUCAUUUUCAUCCAAUGAGUUUCAUUGGGAUUACUCAUGUACCGACUCAACUGACUAAUAACGCAUGCUAUGUCUGGCCGUGUACAAUUCAUUAUAUACAUUAAACAUCCCAAUACUCUUGCGUACUUCAAUUGUGAGUCACUUUCACCUUCAUUCUUUCGAAGUGCAAAGUUCACGUCCAAUUGAGUCUUGGCACUACCAAAUUUCAUAUACUUGAAUUUGUCGAGUACCUUUUCGAUAUAAUGAGACUGUGACAAUGCCAACCCUUGUGGAGUUCUAUGGAUUCUUAUUCCUAAGAUCACAUCCGCAACUCCAAGGUCUUUCAUAUCGAACUUUCUCUUAAGCAUUCGUUUCGUUGCAUUUAUGUCUGAAAUAUCUCCACUGAUGAUCAACAUAUCAUCCACAUAUAAACAUAUAAUGACUUGGUGAUUUGGAGUGUCUUUAAUAUAUACACAUUUAUCACAUUCAUUAAUCUUGGACCUGUUUUCCUACAUAGUUUGGUCAAACUUUGCAUGUCAUUGUUUAGGUGCUUAUUUUAUUCCAUAAAGUGAUUUAAAAAGUUUACACACCUUAUUUUCUUUUCCUGGAACCACAAAACCCUCAAGCUGUCUCAUGUAAAUUUCUUCCUUCAAUUCUCCAUCCAGGAAUGCGAUUUUCACAUCCAUUUGAUGGACUUCAAGACCAUAUACCGCCACCAAGGCAAUUAACAUUUGAAUGUUAUCCUUGUUACUAUCGAGUAUGUAUCAAAGUAAUCAAGGACUUCUUUCUGUUUGAAGCCUUUUACUAUAAGUCUCGCCUUGUAUUUGUCAAUAUUACCAUCCACUUUCAUUUUCCUUUUGAAGAUUCAUUUAGAUCCUAAAGGUUUGUUUCCUAGAAGAAGAUCAACCAACUCCCGCGUAUGGUUGCUUAAGAUUAAAUUAAUUUCACUAUCGACUGCCUCUUUUCAAAAGGAUAAUUCCGAAGACGUCAUCGCUUCAAAUAUUUGAGGCUCAUUUUCUAAGAAAAAUAUUACAAAAUUCGAUCCAAACGAAAUUGAUCUUCUUUGAUGUGUACUACAUGUUGGAUUCUCAUUAUUAUGUACAUUCUCACUUGGUUCAUCUCGAGGUCGUUUAGACCCCCUCACUAGACUGUUCAUGUCUAGUUUUAUACUGAUAAAUAUUUUCAAAGAAUUCAGCGUUAUCUGAUUCAAUUACCGUAUUUUCAUUAAUAUUUGAAUGUUUGGAUUUAUGAACCAAAAAGGACAUGCUUUACUGCUUUUACCAUAUUCUAUGAACACGCAGUCCACUGUCUUAGGUCCUAUCUUAACCCUUUUAGGCAUAGAACUUGGAACUUUGCUAGAUACCCCCACACUUUGAAAUAUUUCAAGUUGGGUUUUCUUCUUUUCUAUUUUUCAUAAGGAAUUGAUUGUGUCUUACUGUGAGAAACUAUAUUGAGUAUUUGGUUGGCUGUAAGUAUAGCCUCCCCCUACAAGUUUUGUGAUAAACCUGAACUUAUAAGUAAGACAUUCAUCAUUUCCUUCAAAGCUCGGUUUUUUCUUUCUGCAAUUCCAUUAGAUUGAGGUGAAUACGAGAUGGUAUUUUGAUGGAUAAUUCCAUUCUCUACACAUAUUUGCGCAAAGGAAGAUUCAUAUUCUCCGCCCCUAUCACUUUUUAUUGUUUUGAUCUUUUUCCCUAACUGAUUUUCAACUUCAGCUUUAUAUUGCCUAAACGCAUCUAUUGCUCCAUCCUUACUAUUUAGCAAGUAGACAUAACAAUAUCUAGUGCAAUCGUCAAUAAAAUUUAUGAAAUAUUUUUUCCCACCUCAUGAUGGUAUUGACUUCAUAUCACAAAUAUCAGUGUGGAUUAAGUCUAAGGAAUUGAAAUUCCUUUCAACGGACUUAUACGAAUAGCAUACUUCGAUUCCACACAAGUUUGACACUUUAAUUUAUUGCACUCAAAGUUUAGGAAAACUUCUAAGUUAAUCAGUAUACGUAAUAUUUUGUAAUUAACAUGACCUAAUCGUUCAUGCCAUAAAUCAUAAGACUUAAGCACGUAAGAAGAAGAUGAACUUUUAUUGAUUUUAACAUUCAUUAUAUUCAUUUUGAAAAGGCCCUCAUUGAGGUAGCCUUUUUCUACAUACACUUCUCCUUUUGGUAAGUACAAUUUUUUCGAAAAUAAAUACACAUUUGAAUCCGUUCUUGUCUAGAAGUGAAACAAAAAUCAAGUUCUUCCGUAACUCCAGAACAUACAAGACAUUGCUAAGUGUCAAAAUUUUAUCGGAAGUCAUCUUCACACACACUUUUCCUGUUCAUUCUAUUUUUGCAGUAGCUGAGUUUUGCAUGUAGAUAUUUUCUUCUACUUGAGCCGUAGUGAAUAUUGAAAACAAAUCCCUAUUAGCACAAACAUGGCGGGUGGCACCAGAAUCUAUCCACCAUCCAUGAGGAUUUCUCACUAAGUUACAUUCGAAAAGCAUAGCACACAGAUCAUCCAAUUUUUUAGACUCAGCCAGAUUUUCUUGGUCCUUCUUGUUUCCUUUCUUCGGGGUACGACAAUUCGUAGACUUGUGGCCAAUCUUGCGACAAUUGAAGCAUUUUCCCUUGAGUUUCUUCUUGGGUUAAUUGCUUUCAUUUCCAGCUUUCUUUCAUUUUUAGAGUUGUUUUGGUCAUCUUCUAUAAUGUUCGCUCCAUUCAUUGCAGAAUUUCCUCUUGACCUUUUUUUUGGAGCCUUAAUAUCUUCUUCAAUACGCAGUCGUACAAUCAGAUCUUCGACCGACAUCUCCUUACGUUUAUGUUUCAAAUAGUUCUUGAAAUCUUUCCACAUAGGUGGUAGCUUCUUUAUUAUUGCUGCUACUUAAAACACCUCAUUCAUGAUUAGACCUACAAUAAAGGUUAUGUGAAUAUUAAGAACAUUUCUAAAUUAUUCAAUAAAGGUAUUUGUCAAAAUAUUACCUUACGCAAGUAGAUCAUGGAUGAUCACUUGUAGUUCAUGAACUUGGGAAACAAUAGACUUGUUGUCUAUCAUUUUAUACUCCAGGAAUCUAGCAACGAAGAACUUUUUAGUUCCCGCAUCCUCCAUUUUGUACUUCCGUUCUAGUUCUCCCUAUAACUCUUUUGCUGUCUUCGUUCCACUAUACACAUUGUAAAGGUUAUCUUGGAGACCACACAAGAUAUAAUUUCAGCAAAGAAAAUCUGAGUAUUUCCAAGCCUCUACAAUCACGAAGCAUUUUUGUUUAGAGGUUCCCUCGGACAGCUCCGGAGCUUUCUGAAACGUGAACCUUUGAAGACAAAGAGUUGUCAGGUAGAACAAUAUUUUUUCCUGCCAUCUCUUGAAGUCAAUACCCGCAAAUUUUCCGGGUUUCUCUGCUAGUAUCAUAGCUUGUGGAGUAUUAGUACGAUUUGUCGUAGCAAUACUAGUUUCCGCCAUAGUCUUUCCAGCAUCAUGCAUUUGAUUAUCAGUUGUCAUUUUCCUGUCACCACAAGAUAGUACCUUUAGUAUAUCGAAAUACUUAUUAAAAAGUUGCAGCAACUUUAAACACUUCUUAUUUCUAGUUUAACGAUGAAGUUUUUAUGACUUCCAAUAGUCAAUCGAGUGAUCUUUAACUUGUGAUGAAGAUUUUAUUUCUUCAAAUCACUAGUUAAGUUCAAACGGAGUAGAAAGCUUACAACUUUAACCUCAAGAAAACAAGCUACGCAGAUUCCGAAAGAUUACUUCUUAAGAUUGUUAUUUUCAAUAUUUUCAGGUACAUGAAUCUGUAUAUAUGAAACAAUAACUUCAACACAAGUUCAAGUCUAAGACAAGAACACUUAUGAAGUUUCGUAACACCUUCAACACAAGAUUAUGAAUAAUCUAUCCAAUAAGUAUGUUAUAAUUCAGAAAUGAGAUGAAACAGAAUAUUUAAGGCCAAGUCCCCCGACUUUACCAAGUGUCCUUAAGGAAUAAUUUUCCUCACUGUACCCGAGGUUAUGGAAUCUUCCUCCCAGGAUAAAAUGACCUUCAAUCCAAAUAAUAGUGGUACCUCAAAUUGUUGNNNNNNNNNNNNNNNNNNNNNNNNNNNNNNNNNNNNNNNNNNNNNNNNNNNNNNNNNNNAUCAUGUCUAUACCUGAGGAAUAUAUCAGGUCUUUAUAGCCUUUAAUGUGUCCUUUCGAAAAGGAUGCAUUAGUUCAGCAGAAAGGCACCUAUUCAGUAGCAGUCACAUCCCUGCGCCCAGUCUGUGCUGGACUUGUGCCUGAUUUGCGAUGUUUUGCAAAUUUUAGUGGCUUAUGCAUUACAUCUUCGCCCAUAGGUUGCGUACCUGCACUGCGUCUGCGCCCGCAGGUCACCCUACAGUGCGAAACAGUGUGCCUUUUCACUCGAAGGGUCGCAUCCCUUCGUGAUGCGUUUCAUAUGCGUUUGCAUGGAGUCAAAAUUGUGCCCGCACUUGGAGAAAAUAAUUAUUAGAUUUUUGCAUUAAGUUUUUCACUUGUAACAUAAGUUUCAAAUAGAAUUCGUCUAAAAAGAUAGAUCUCAUCGAUUGUUUUUUCGAAUCCAAGCCAAGCAAGUG
rnacentral:lncRNA from 1 species